CGCGUCCCUCUUCCUUUCUGGUACAGUAGGUGUAGAGCAGAGGGAAGAAGACUGCUGUAGACGGAGAGCUGAACCUGACUUCUCUUCAUUGAGUGUUCCUAUUGAAGUUUAGAAACACAGUUGAGCUACCAAGACCUUCCUUCAUAAUAGAGAAUUCCUGAUUUCCUGAUCUCUCAGACUGAAACAACAUUGCUUUAAAAAAAAUCUUUGAAACUAAAGCUUGGCUCUAAUGAAGUUCAUGAAAGGAAUAAGAUACUGAGGAGAUUUGCUAAAUAUGCAGAUAAUCAGCAUGGAGGCUCUGUAGAGCUUCAGUUUGGUAGGCAGAUGGAUACUUCUUCCCUCCUGUGCUUUCUUUUGGAGCCUGCCAAACACUGAGCUAGCUCUGGCAAGAUGUGCAUCAACCUCAUCAUCUAUGCGGACGUCCCAGCAGAAUGUACUACAAAGACAUUAUUAUCUCUUACUUAGAGAGAAAAUGGCUACAGACCACAAGAUGGCUUACUCAGAAGAGGAAUGCAAAAAAAAAGUCAACAGUGGGUUUUAUAUUUGCUGCUGGAGGUAAUAGUGGCUAGAUGGAGCAGUAGAUGGAGCCCUUCCCCCCACCUGGAGUCAAGAAGACAUCUUUUUGAAUCUGGCCUCAAAUACUUCCUAGCUGUAUGACCCUAGAGAGAAGGACCAGUGUUGUAUGCUUGGGAUGGACUAAUUAUUUCUGCGAUUAUCUCAUCUCCCAGAAGAUCACUUUCUCCAAAGACACGUUUUCUUUAUGAAAGGAAAUAAGCAAAAUUAAAAAAGAAUUAUAUCA